GCCACACCAUGGCUUCGAGGACUGGUCCCAGAUCCGCUACCCCCCUCCCCCCAUGGCCAUGGAGCACCCGCCCCCACUCCCCAACUCGCGCCUCUUCCAUCUGCCGGAAUACACCUGGCGUCUACCCUGUGGAGGGGUUCGAAAUCCAAAUCAGAGCUCCCAAGUGAUGGACCCUCCCACAGCCAGGCCUACAGAACCAGAGUCUCCAAAAAAUGACCGUGAGGGGCCUCAGUGAGACCAGAUUGUGUCAUUUGGCUCCACCUUCAUCUUGCAGAGCCAGCUGAUCUCAGAUUGCCAAGAAACUAGAAGCCACUUGCACGGUGUGGCCAGAGCCUCAGCUGGAUGAGAGGCUGAGAUGGGUGGCCAGCUUGUACACCAGUCCCUGAACUGAGCUGUUUACAGGACUGGGGAGGCUCCACCCAGAAGGCUUUCAUUUGUACUCUGCUGGGAGUGACUGGGAAAAACUCCUUCCCUGCUGCUGAGUGGAGAGAGGCCUCAUCCGGCUUUGACCCACCAUCCGUUGCAGAAGCCUCCAGGAGCAGCAAUCCUAAGAGUGGGAGGCAGCCAAGACCCCCUUCCUUCAAAACCUCCCGGAAGUGGUUUCAGGCCCUCUAGUUGCCAUGACCAAUUUGUGUGUGUGUUUAAUUUUUGCUUCAAGCUCUGUAGCAGGACCUGCCCCACGCACACCCCUACCCCUCUGUGAGGAGCUGUGGGAAGUGUGGGUUUGUCUCCAGAACAGAAGAGAAUGAUGGAUAUUCUGGCUCUGGGGCCCUCUCCACCACCACUCACAGUAGCCUUGCUGAAGCCAUCACAGAUGGGAGAAGGCCAUGCCAGCCACGUCCGCCGAGGGGCGCCAGCCUGAAGCUGCCAGGCCCUGAGGUUCAGACCCUGGACCCCAUAGCUGGAGGCCUGUGGUGCCAGAAGCCCAGAUUAGGGUGGCUGUCCAUCCCUGGAUAGCUAUUUGCACGAAUCAUGGACAUAAAUCCAAGUUGAAGAAGAUC
rnacentral:lncRNA from 1 species